rnacentral:tRNA from 1 species
CGGGGUGUAGCGCAGUUGGCUAGCGCGCCUGGUUUGGGACCAGGAGGUCCUGAGUUCGAGUCUCAGCACCCCGA